rnacentral:rRNA from 1 species
UACAGAGGUCCCAAGCGUUGCUCGGAAUCAUUGGGCGUAAAGCGCACGUAGGCGGUUCGUUAUGUCGGAUGUGAAAGCCCUUGGCUUAACCGAGGAAGUGCAUCCGAAACUGGCGAGCUAGAGUACGAAAGAGGAUUGCGGAAUUCCCGGUGUAGAGGUGAAAUUCGUAGAUAUCGGGAGGAACACCGGUGGCGAAGGCGGCGAUCUGGGUCGAUACUGACGCUGAGGUGCGAAAGCGUGGGGAGCAAACAGG